rnacentral:rRNA from 1 species
UGGGGGCAACCCUGAUCCAGCAAUGCCGCGUGUGUGAAGAAGGCCUGAGGGUUGUAAAGCACUUUCAGUAGUGAGGAAGAGUUAUAGUUUAAGAGAUGAUAGCUUUGACGUUAGCUACAGAAGCAGCACCGGCUAACUCCGUGCCAGCAGCCGCGGUAAUACGGAGGGUGCAAGCGUUAAUCGGAAUUACUGGGCGUAAAGGGCGCGUAGGUUGUUUAGUAAGUUGGCUGUGAAAGCCCCGGGCUUAACCUGGGAUGGUCAGUCAAAACUGCUAAACUAGAGUGUAGUAGAGGGUAGUGGAAUUUCAGGUGUAGCGGUGAAAUGCGUAGAGAUCUGAAGGAACACCAGUGGCGAAGGCGGCUACCUGGACUAACACUGACACUGAGGCGCGAAAGCGUGGGUAGCGAACAGGAUUAGAUACCCUGGUAGUCCACGCCGUAAACGAUGUCAACUAGCCGUUGGAUAAUUUAAUUAUUUAGUGGCGCAGCUAACGCGAUAAGUUGACCGCCUGGGGGAGUACGGUCGCAAGAUUAAAACUCAAGGGAUUUGACGGGG